rnacentral:rRNA from 1 species
ACGAACGCUGGCGGCGUGGAUAAGACAUGCAAGUCGAACGAGAGAAUUGCUAGCUUGCUAAUAAUUCUCUAGUGGCGCACGGGUGAGUAACACGUGAGUAACCUGCCCCCGAGAGCGGGAUAGCCCUGGGAAACUGGGAUUAAUACCGCAUAGUAUCGAAAGAUUAAAGCAGCAAUGCGCUUGGGGAUGGGCUCGCGGCCUAUUAGUUAGUUGGUGAGGUAACGGCUCACCAAGGCGAUGACGGGUAGCCGGUCUGAGAGGAUGUCCGGCCACACUGGAACUGAGACACGGUCCAGACACCUACGGGUGGCAGCAGUCGAGAAUCAUUCACAAUGGGGGAAACCCUGAUGGUGCGAAGCCGCGUGGGGGAAUGAAGGUCUUCGGAUUGUAAACCCCUGUCAUGUGGGAGCAAAUUAAAAAGAUAGUACCACAAGAGGAAGAGACGGCUAACUCUGUGCCAGCAGCCGCGGUAAUACAGAGGUCUCAAGCGUUGUUCGGAAUCACUGGGCGUAAAGCGUGCGUAGGCUGUUUCGUAAGUCGUGUGUGAAAGGCGCGGGCUCAACCCGCGGACGGCACAUGAUACUGCGAGACUAGAGUAAUGGAGGGGGAACCGGAAUUCUCGGUGUAGCAGUGAAAUGCGUAGAUAUCGAGAGGAACACUCGUGGCGAAGGCGGGUUCCUGGACAUUAACUGACGCUGAGGCACGAAGGCCAGGGGAGCGAAAGGGAUUAGAUACCCCUGUAGUCCUGGCAGUAAACGGUGCACGCUUGGUGUGCGGGGAAUCGACCCCCUGCGUGCCGGAGCUAACGCGUUAAGCGUGCCGCCUGGGGAGUACGGUCGCAAGAUUAAAACUCAAAGAAAUUGACGGGGACCCGCACAAGCGGUGGAGUAUGUGGCUUAAUUCGAUGCAACGCGAAGAACCUUACCUGGGCUUGACAUGUAAUGAACAACAUGUGAAAGCAUGCGACUCUUCGGAGGCGUUACACAGGUGCUGCAUGGCCGUCGUCAGCUCGUGUCGUGAGAUGUUUGGUUAAGUCCAGCAACGAGCGCAACCCCUGUUGCCAGUUACCAGCACGUGAAGGUGGGGACUCUGGCGAGACUGCCCAGAUCAACUGGGAGGAAGGUGGGGACGACGUCAGGUCAGUAUGGCCCUUAUGCCCAGGGCUGCACACGUACUACAAUGCCCAGUACAGAGGGGGCCGAAGCCGCGAGGCGGAGGAAAUCCUAAAAACUGGGCCCAGUUCGGACUGUAGGCUGCAACCCGCCUACACGAAGCCGGAAUCGCUAGUAAUGGCGCAUCAGCUACGGCGCCGUGAAUACGUUCCCGGGUCUUGUACACACCGCCCGUCACAUCAUGGAAGCCGGUCGCACCCGAAGUAUCUGAAGCCAACCGCAAGGAGGCAGGGUCCUAAGGUGAGACUGGUAACUGGGAUG